rnacentral:rRNA from 1 species
GCCGAGCGGUAUUGUUUCUUCGGAAAUGAGAGAGCGGCGUACGGGUGCGGAACACGUGUGCAACCUGCCUUUAUCUGGGGGAUAGCCUUUCGAAAGGAAGAUUAAUACUCCAUAAUAUAUUGAACGGCAUCGUUUAAUAUUGAAAGCUCCGGCGGAUAGAGAUGGGCACGCGCAAGAUUAGCUAGUUGGUGAGGUAACGACUCACCAAGGCGAUGAUCUUUAGGGGGCCUGAGAGGGUGAUCCCCCACACUGGUACUGAGACACGGACCAGACUCCUACGGGAGGCAGCAGUGAGGAAUAUUGGUCAAUGGGUGCAAGCCUGAACCAGCCAUCCCGCGUGAAGGACGACUGCCCUAUGGGUUGUAAACUUCUUUUGUAUAGGGAUAAACCUACCCUCGUGAGGGUAGCUGAAGGUACUAUACGAAUAAGCACCGGCUAACUCCGUGCCAGCAGCCGCGGUAAUACGGAGGGUGCAAGCGUUAUCCGGAUUUAUUGGGUUUAAAGGGUCCGUAGGCGGACUUAUAAGUCAGUGGUGAAAGCCUGUCGCUUAACGAUAGAACUGCCAUUGAUACUGUAAGUCUUGAGUAUAUUUGAGGUAGCUGGAAUAAGUAGUGUAGCGGUGAAAUGCAUAGAUAUUACUUAGAACACCAAUUGCGAAGGCAGGUUACCAAGAUAUAACUGACGCUGAGGGA